GCAGCGGUGCCGGAGAAGAUAAACGGUUCCGGCUUAUGACUGGAUAGAACAGCCCGGUUCACGCGGGUUAGAAUCUCGCCCGCCGCG
rnacentral:tRNA from 1 species